CCUACGGGGGGCAGCAGUGGGGGAUAUUGCACAAUGGGGGAAACCCUGAUGCAGCGACGCCGCGUGUGGGAAGACGGUCCUCUGGAUUGUAAACCACUGUCCCCAGGGACGAAGAUGACGGUACCUGGGGAGGAAGCUCCGGCUAACUACGUGCCAGCAGCCGCGGUAAUACGUAGGGAGCAAGCGUUGUCCGGAUUUACUGGGUGUAAAGGGUGCGUAGGCGGCUUUGCAAGUCAGAAGUGAAAUCCAUGGGCUUAACCCAUGAACUGCUUUUGAAACUGCAGAGCUUGAGUGGAGUAGAGGUAGGCGGAAUUCCCGGUGUAGCGGUGAAAUGCGUAGAGAUCGGGAGGAACACCAGUGGCGAAGGCGGCCUGCUGGGCUCUAACUGACGCUGAGGCACGAAAGCGUGGGUAGCAAACAGGAUUAGAUACCCCAGUAGUC
rnacentral:rRNA from 1 species